rnacentral:rRNA from 1 species
GACGAACGCUGGCGGCGUGCUUAACACGUGCAAGUCGAACGAUGAACCCGGAGCUUGCUCCGGUGGAUUAGUGGCGAACGGGUGAGUAACACGUGAGUAACCUGCCCUUGACUCUGGGAUAACUGCGGGAAACUGUAGCUAAUACCGGAUACGACCCUCGGCGGCAUCGCCAGGGGGUGGAAAGAAUUUCGGUCAAGGAUGGACUCGCGGCCUAUCAGCUAGUUGGUGAGGUAACGGCUCACCAAGGCGACGACGGGAAGCCGGCCUGAGAGGGUGAGCGGCCACACUGGGACAGAGACACGGCCCAGACGCCUGCGAGAGGCAGCAGCGGGGAAUAUUGCACAAUGGGCGCAAGCCUGAUGCAGCGACGCCGCGUGGGGGAUGACGGCCUUCGGGUUGUAAACCUCUUUUAGUAGGGAGGAAGCGAAAGUGACGGUACCUGCAGAAAAAGCACCGGCUAACUACGUGCCAGCCGCCGCAGUAA